GAUGAACGCUGGCGGCGUGCCUAAUACAUGCAAGUCGAGCGAACAGAUAAGGAGCUUGCUCCUUUGACGUUAGCGGCGGACGGGUGAGUAACACGUGGGUAACCUACCUAUAAGACUGGGAUAACUUCGGGAAACCGGAGCUAAUACCGGAUAACAUUUGGAACCGCAUGGUUCUAAAGUGAAAGAUGGUUUUGCUAUCACUUAUAGAUGGACCCGCGCCGUAUUAGCUAGUUGGUAAGGUAACGGCUUACCAAGGCGACGAUACGUAGCCGACCUGAGAGGGUGAUCGGCCACACUGGAACUGAGACACGGUCCAGACUCCUACGGGAGGCAGCAGUAGGGAAUCUUCCGCAAUGGGCGAAAGCCUGACGGAGCAACGCCGCGUGAGUGAUGAAGGGGUUCGGCUCGUAAAACUCUGUUAUUAGGGAAGAACAAACGUGUAAGUAACUGUGCACGUCUUGACGGUGCCUAAUCAGAAAGCCACGGCUAACUACGUG
rnacentral:rRNA from 1 species